rnacentral:rRNA from 1 species
CAAGUCGAGCGAGAUUUUCUUUGGUAGCAAUACCGAAGGAAGUCUAGCGGCGAACGGGUGCUUAACACGUGGGCAACCUGCCAGGAAGUGGGGGAUAGCUCGCCGAAAGGCGAAUUAAUACCGCAUGUGAUUAGAGAGGACAUCCUUUCGAAAUUAAAGUCGGGGCAACCUGACGCUUCUUGUGGGGCCCGCGGCCUAUCAGCUAGUUGGUGAGGUAACGGCUCACCAAGGCUUUGACGGGUAGCUGGUCUGAGAGGACGACCAGCCACACUGGGACUGAGACACGGCCCAGACACCUACGGGUGGCAGCAGUCGAGAAUUUUUGACAAUGGGGGAAACCCUGAUCGAGCGACGCCGCGUGGAGGAUGAAGGUCUUCGGAUUGUAAACUCCUGUCAUUGGGGAACAAGGUGCAUACGUUAACUGCGUGUGCAUUGAUAGUACCCGAAGAGGAAGAGACGGCUAACUCUGUGCCAGCAGCCGCGGUAAUACAGAGGUCUCAAGCGUUGUUCGGAUUCAUUGGGCGUAAAGGGUGCGUAGGCGGCGCGGUAAGUCGGGUGUGAAAUCUCGGAGCUUAACUCCGAAACUGCAUUCGAUACUGCCGUGCUUGAGGACUGGAGAGGAGACUGGAAUUUACGGUGUAGCGGUGAAAUGCGUAGAUAUCGUAAGGAAGACCAGUGGCGAAGGCGGGUCUCUGGACAGUUCCUGACGCUGAGGCACGAAGGUCAGGGGAGCAAACGGGAUUAGAUACCCCGGUAGUCCUGACAGUAAACGGUGCACGUUUGGUGUGGGAAGAAUUCGACCCCUUCUGCGCCGGA